rnacentral:rRNA from 1 species
GUGGGGAAUAUUGGACAAUGGGCGAAAGCCUGAUCCAGCCAUGCCGCGUGUGUGAAGAAGGUCUUCGGAUUGUAAAGCACUUUAAGUUGGGAGGAAGGGCAGUAAGUUAAUACCUUGCUGUUUUGACGUUACCGACAGAAUAAGCACCGGCUAACUUCGUGCCAGCAGCCGCGGUAAUACGAAGGGUGCAAGCGUUAAUCGGAAUUACUGGGCGUAAAGCGCGCGUAGGUGGUUUUGUAAGUUGGAGGUGAAAUCCCCGGGCUCAACCUGUGAACUGCCUCCAAAAAUGCAUGACUAGAGUACGGUAGAGGGUAGUGGAAUUUCCUGUGUAGCGGUGAAAUGCGUAGAUAUAGGAAGGAACACCAGUGGCGAAGGCGACUACCUGGACUGAUACUGACACUGAGGUGCGAAAGCGUGGGGAGCAAACAGGAUUAGAAACCCGAGUAGUCC